rnacentral:misc_RNA from 1 species
UCCGGUUUGACACCGGCAGUCUCCCUAGAGUUCCCGGCUUUACCCGCUGGUAACUAGGGACGAGGGUUGCGCUCGUUGCGGGACUUAACCCAACAUGUCACCACACGAGCUGACGACAGCCAUGCAGCACCUGUCACUCGGUCGUAUUGCUACGAAAGCCGUAUCUCUACGGUUGUCCGAGGAUGUCAAACCCAGGUAAGGUUCUUCGCGUUGCUUCGAAUUAAACCACAUGAUCCACCGCUUGUGCGGGCCCCCGUCAAUUCCUUUGAGUUUUAGUCUUGCGACCGUACUUCCCAGGCGGGGUACUUAUCGCGUUAGCUCCGGCACAGCAGGGGUCAAGACCCACCAUGCCUAGUACCCAUCGUUUACGGCGUGGACUAC